GAUGAACGCUGGCGGCGUGCCUAAUACAUGCAAGUCGAGCGAACAGACGAGGAGCUUGCUCCUCUGACGUUAGCGGCGGACGGGUGAGUAACACGUGGAUAACCUACCUAUAAGACUGGGAUAACUUCGGGAAACCGGAGCUAAUACCGGAUAAUAUAUUUAACCGCAUGGUUCAAUAGUGAAAGACGGUUUUGCUGUCACUUAUAGAUGGAUCCGCGCCGCAUUAGCUAGUUGGUAAGGUAACGGCUUACCAAGGCAACGAUGCGUAGCCGACCUGAGAGGGUGAUCGGCCACACUGGAACUGAGACACGGUCCAGACUCCUACGGGAGGCAGCAGUAGGGAAUCUUCCGCAAUGGGCGAAAGCCUGACGGAGCAACGCCGCGUGAGUGAUGAAGGUCUUCGAAUCGUAAAACUCUGUUAUUAGGGAAGAACAAAUGUGUAAGUAACUAUGCACGUCUUGACGGUACCUAAUCAGAAAGCCACGGCUAACUACGU
rnacentral:rRNA from 1 species